rnacentral:rRNA from 1 species
UCUGUUUGAUUUAAAUAAAUAGUCUAGCCUGCCCACUGAAUAAUAGGUUUUAAAGGGCCGCGGUAUUAUGACCGUGCAAAGGUAGCAUAGUCACUAGUUCUUUAAUUGGGUUCUGGAAUGAAUGGUUGGACAAGAAGGAAACUGUCUGGAAUAUAAAGUUAGAAUUUUACUUUUAAGUGAGAAGGCUUAAAUAAAAUAAGGGGACGAUAAGACCCUAUAAAACUUGUUAUACAAAUAAAGUAUCAUUCUUCGAAUUGUGAAGGUAUGUUUAAACAAGGGGAUACUUAAUGUUGUUCAACUGGGGCGGUGCUUAUAUAAAUAUGAAAACUAUAAAAUUGAUUACAAUAAUUAUAAUUAGAUUAUUAGACCCUUGUAUAAGGAUUUUGAGAUAAAGUUACUUUAGGGAUAACAGCGUUAUUUCUCUUGAGAGUCCAAAUCGACAGAGUAAGUUGCGACCUCGAUGUUGAAUCAAGAUGUUAUUCAGGUGGAGGAGCCUGAAUUGUGGGUCUGUUCGACCUUUAAAAUC